rnacentral:rRNA from 1 species
CCUACGGGAUGCAGCAGUGAGGCAUAUUGGUCAAUGGACGAGAGUCUGAACCAGCCAAGUAGCGUGAAGGAUGACUGCCCUAUGGGUUGUAAACUUCUUUUAUCUGGGAAUAAAACGUUCCACGUGUGGGAUUUUGUAUGUACCAUAUGACUAAGGAUCGGCUAACUCCGUGCCAGCAGCCGCGGUAAUACGGAGGAUCCGAGCGUUAUCCGGAUUUAUUGGGUUUAAAGGGAGCGUAGGUGGAUUGUUAAGUCAGUUGUGAAAGUUUGCGGCUCAACCGUAAAAUUGCAGUUGAAACUGGCAGUCUUGAGUACAGUAGAGGUGGGCGGAAUUCGUGGUGUAGCGGUGAAAUGCUUAGAUAUCACGAAGAACUCCGAUUGCGAAGGCAGUUCACUGGACUGCAACUGACACUGAGGCUCGAAAGUGUGGGUAUCAAACAGGAUUAGAUACCCGGGUAGUC